rnacentral:rRNA from 1 species
GAUGAACGCUGGCGGCGUGCCUAAUACAUGCAAGUCGAGCGAACAGACGAGGAGCUUGCUCCUCUGACGUUAGCGGCGGACGGGUGAGUAACACGUGGAUAACCUACCUAUAAGACUGGGAUAACUUCGGGAAACCGGAGCUAAUACCGGAUAAUAUAUUGAACCGCAUGGUUCAAUAGUGAAAGACGGUUUUGCUGUCACUUAUAGAUGGAUCCGCGCCGCAUUAGCUAGUUGGUAAGGUAACGGCUUACCAAGGCGACGAUGCGUAGCCGACCUGAGAGGGUGAUCGGCCACACUGGAACUGAGGCACGGUCCAGACUCCUACGGGAGGCAGCAGUAGGGAAUCUUCCGCAAUGGGCGAAAGCCUGACGGAGCAACGCCGCGUGAGUGAUGGAGGUCUUCGGAUCGUAAAACUCUGUUAUUAGGGAAGAACAAAUGUGUAAGUAACUAUGCACGUCUUGACGGUACCUAAUCAGAAAGCCACGGCUAACUACGUG